GGUUAAGCGACUAAGCGUACACGGUGGAUGCCCUGGCAGUCAGAGGCGAUGAAGGACGUGCUAAUCUGCGAUAAGCGUCGGUAAGGUGAUAUGAACCGUUAUAACCGGCGAUUUCCGAAUGGGGAAACCCAGUGUGUUUCGACACACUAUCAUUAACUGAAUCCAUAGGUUAAUGAGGCGAACCGGGGGAACUGAAACAUCUAAGUACCCCGAGGAAAAGAAAUCAACCGAGAUUCCCCCAGUAGCGGCGAGCGAACGGGGAGCAGCCCAGAGCCUGAAUCAGUGUGUGUGUUAGUGGAAGCGUCUGGAAAGGCGCGCGAUACAGGGUGACAGCCCCGUACACAAAAAUGCACAUGCUGUGAGCUCGAUGAGUAGGGCGGGACACGUGGUAUCCUGUCUGAAUAUGGGGGGACCAUCCUCCAAGGCUAAAUACUCCUGACUGACCGAUAGUGAACCAGUACCGUGAGGGAAAGGCGAAAAGAACCCCGGCGAGGGGAGUGAAAAAGAACCUGAAACCGUGUACGUACAAGCAGUGGGAGCACGCUUAGGCGUGUGACUGCGUACCUUUUGUAUAAUGGGUCAGCGACUUAUAUUCUGUAGCAAGGUUAACCGAAUAGGGGAGCCGAAGGGAAACCGAGUCUUAACUGGGCGUUAAGUUGCAGGGUAUAGACCCGAAACCCGGUGAUCUAGCCAUGGGCAGGUUGAAGGUUGGGUAACACUAACUGGAGGACCGAACCGACUAAUGUUGAAAAAUUAGCGGAUGACUUGUGGCUGGGGGUGAAAGGCCAAUCAAACCGGGAGAUAGCUGGUUCUCCCCGAAAGCUAUUUAGGUAGCGCCUCGUGAAUUCAUCUCCGGGGGUAGAGCACUGUUUCGGCAAGGGGGUCAUCCCGACUUACCAACCCGAUGCAAACUGCGAAUACCGGAGAAUGUUAUCACGGGAGACACACGGCGGGUGCUAACGUCCGUCGUGAAGAGGGAAACAACCCAGACCGCCAGCUAAGGUCCCAAAGUCAUGGUUAAGUGGGAAACGAUGUGGGAAGGCCCAGACAGCCAGGAUGUUGGCUUAGAAGCAGCCAUCAUUUAAAGAAAGCGUAAUAGCUCACUGGUCGAGUCGGCCUGCGCGGAAGAUGUAACGGGGCUAAACCAUGCACCGAAGCUGCGGCAGCGACGCUUAUGCGUUGUUGGGUAGGGGAGCGUUCUGUAAGCCUGCGAAGGUGUGCUGUGAGGCAUGCUGGAGGUAUCAGAAGUGCGAAUGCUGACAUAAGUAACGAUAAAGCGGGUGAAAAGCCCGCUCGCCGGAAGACCAAGGGUUCCUGUCCAACGUUAAUCGGGGCAGGGUGAGUCGACCCCUAAGGCGAGGCCGAAAGGCGUAGUCGAUGGGAAACAGGUUAAUAUUCCUGUACUUGGUGUUACUGCGAAGGGGGGACGGAGAAGGCUAUGUUGGCCGGGCGACGGUUGUCCCGGUUUAAGCGUGUAGGCUGGUUUUCCAGGCAAAUCCGGAAAAUCAAGGCUGAGGCGUGAUGACGAGGCACUACGGUGCUGAAGCAACAAAUGCCCUGCUUCCAGGAAAAGCCUCUAAGCAUCAGGUAACAUCAAAUCGUACCCCAAACCGACACAGGUGGUCAGGUAGAGAAUACCAAGGCGCUUGAGAGAACUCGGGUGAAGGAACUAGGCAAAAUGGUGCCGUAACUUCGGGAGAAGGCACGCUGAUAUGUAGGUGAAGUCCCUCGCGGAUGGAGCUGAAAUCAGUCGAAGAUACCAGCUGGCUGCAACUGUUUAUUAAAAACACAGCACUGUGCAAACACGAAAGUGGACGUAUACGGUGUGACGCCUGCCCGGUGCCGGAAGGUUAAUUGAUGGGGUCAGCGCAAGCGAAGCUCUUGAUCGAAGCCCCGGUAAACGGCGGCCGUAACUAUAACGGUCCUAAGGUAGCGAAAUUCCUUGUCGGGUAAGUUCCGACCUGCACGAAUGGCGUAAUGAUGGCCAGGCUGUCUCCACCCGAGACUCAGUGAAAUUGAACUCGCUGUGAAGAUGCAGUGUACCCGCGGCAAGACGGAAAGACCCCGUGAACCUUUACUAUAGCUUGACACUGAACAUUGAGCCUUGAUGUGUAGGAUAGGUGGGAGGCUUUGAAGUGUGGACGCCAGUCUGCAUGGAGCCGACCUUGAAAUACCACCCUUUAAUGUUUGAUGUUCUAACGUGGACCCGUAAUCCGGGUUGCGGACAGUGUCUGGUGGGUAGUUUGACUGGGGCGGUCUCCUCCUAAAGAGUAACGGAGGAGCACGAAGGUUGGCUAAUCCUGGUCGGACAUCAGGAGGUUAGUGCAAUGGCAUAAGCCAGCUUGACUGCGAGCGUGACGGCGCGAGCAGGUGCGAAAGCAGGUCAUAGUGAUCCGGUGGUUCUGAAUGGAAGGGCCAUCGCUCAACGGAUAAAAGGUACUCCGGGGAUAACAGGCUGAUACCGCCCAAGAGUUCAUAUCGACGGCGGUGUUUGGCACCUCGAUGUCGGCUCAUCACAUCCUGGGGCUGAAGUAGGUCCCAAGGGUAUGGCUGUUCGCCAUUUAAAGUGGUACGCGAGCUGGGUUUAGAACGUCGUGAGACAGUUCGGUCCCUAUCUGCCGUGGGCGCUGGAGAACUGAGGGGGGCUGCUCCUAGUACGAGAGGACCGGAGUGGACGCAUCACUGGUGUUCGGGUUGUCAUGCCAAUGGCACUGCCCGGUAGCUAAAUGCGGAAGAGAUAAGUGCUGAAAGCAUCUAAGCACGAAACUUGCCCCGAGAUGAGUUCUCCCUGACCCUUUAAGGGUCCUGAAGGAACGUUGAAGACGACGACGUUGAUAGGCCGGGUGUGUAAGCGCAGCGAUGCGUUGAGCUAACCGGUACUAAUGAACCGUGAGGCUUAACCUU
rnacentral:rRNA from 1 species